rnacentral:hammerhead_ribozyme from 1 species
UUCCGGAUGACGAGUCCAAAAUAGGACGAAAUCCACAUCUUGGAU